GUCACAAUGGCAAAUGUGUUACUACUGCCCUGAAUGACUUCGAAGCUUUCCCAUAUCUAGACACAGUAACGGGAAUGCUCAAAUCGCAUGUGGAGAAAAGCCCCAGAAUGGAAUAACAGCAAACCCUGGCACAAUGGAGUCUGAUUCCUUAGCUUCCAAGAUCUAAUGUGAAAAAACAGGCUGGCUAUGAAGUCGCACAACCAACAUUGUUACGGUUGCAUUUAUACCUCCAUCGGGAUUAAGGAAAGCUGUGUGCAACACAUCUGAGCCGUAAAAUAAAUGUCCUUUUCUAAAAGA